ACAGGGGGUGCAAGCGUUAAUCGGAAUUACUGGGCGUAAAGCGCACGUAGGUGGCUUGGUAAGUUGGAUGUGAAAUCCCCGGGCUUAACUUGGGAAUUGCAUUCAAGACUGCCUUGCUAGAGUGUGGAAGAGGGAAGCGGAAUUCCAGGUGUAGCGGUGAAAUGCGUAGAUAUCUGGAGGAACAUCAGUGGCGAAGGCGGCUUCCUGGUCCAACACUGACACUGAGGUGCGAAAGCGUGGGGAGCAAACAGGA
rnacentral:rRNA from 1 species